GGUAGAGCGCAACCUUGCCAAGGUUGAGGUCGCCGGUUCGAGGCCGGUCAUCCGCUCAG
rnacentral:tRNA from 1 species